rnacentral:lncRNA from 1 species
UCCUUCAACUCAAACUUGGUAGAUCUUCCGCUUUUUUAAACUAAAGAAAUCAAGAAUAAAUAAAAACUUAAAAAAAAAUGUUACUGUUAACAAAGGAGCCUGCAAAUGUUAACCUCUCCUGAAUUAUUGAAAUAGUGACUAAUCUUUAAGGAAUAACUUCUGCAGAAAUGAGAUCCUACAAUGUGUACACCUAAAGCAAUU